rnacentral:lncRNA from 1 species
AUUACUAGUCACACAGAGAAAGGGCUAGGGGCUAAAUGAGCUGCACUGAUGGUAAAUGCUGAUAGAGGCCUAUGGAGGGGACCUUGUGGCCCAGGGCAGCAAGAAAUGCUGCAUUGGAGAGAUGGGGUACAUGCGAGUGACAAUGGGAAGAGUUGGUAGCUGGAGAGAACUGGGAAAGCCUUCAGAAACGUGGGGCUAAAAUAAGCCCAGAAGCUGAGGAAGGGCUGAGUCAGACCCUCAGAGUGGAGCAAUCACUGCACGGCUGCUCCUUGUAAGAAACAUCCCGUUGCGCCUGAGUUGUUUAUUGCCAGGAGCUGUAAGUGAAAAAUGAGCUCUCUUAAGCCAGGCUGGGAGCAGGCUCCUCUUCCUGGAGAUGGCACGAUGCUUCACAGCUUGGAAACGUUCUGUGCCAGUAUAAAAGGGGUGGCAUACAUCCCUCGGAGCAGGAAAGCCUGAUGACAAAGGGGAAGGAGCCUGGGCUGGAAGCCAAGUGGCACUAGGGUUAGUCUCAACUUCAUUGCUUACCAGAUAUGUCAAAUGAAUGAUACCCUUACCUGCUGAGAGUCUACCUUUUCUCAGUUGCAAGAUUAAAAUGUAAGCCAGAUGAUGUCUGAGUUUCUUUCUGGCCCCGGCUUUCUUUUGGUUUGUCCAAGCAGCUCCGCAAACUCACUCUCAGGCCCUAAAUGAUGUGGGCUGUUAACGGUGGAGAAAGGAAUUCCGACGUGGCCUAUGGCAGCCGUUGCUUCAUUGAGUCUGGUUCAGUCAGCACCCACUGAUUGGGCACCUCUGCUGUCCAGGCAUCUGGGAAAUGGCUGGGGAUACAGAGGUGAAGAAGACAGGGUUUCUUCAGGAACUCACUUUCCAGCAGGUGAGAGUAUGAGUAGAAAAGGUGGACAAAACAAAAAGCUGCUUAACAACACAAACUCCUUUGCUAAGCCCUGAAUGAAUGAUCCGGACAAGCUGCUCAGAAUGAGGAACGGUUCACAAGA